rnacentral:rRNA from 1 species
ACCCGCUGAACUUAAGCAUAUCAAUAAGCGGAGGAAAAGAAACCAACAGGGAUUGCCCUAGUAACGGCGAGUGAAGCGGCAACAGCUCAAAUUUGAAAUCUGGCCUCGGCCCGAGUUGUAAUUUGCAGAGGAUGAUUUUGGCGCGGUGCCUUCCGAGUUCCCUGGAACGGGACGCCACAGAGGGUGAGAGCCCCGUAUGGUCGGACACCAAGCCUUUGUAAAUCUCCUUCGACGAGUCGAGUAGUUUGGGAAUGCUGCUCAAAAUGGGAGGUAAAUCUCUUCUAAAGCUAAAUAUUGGCCAGAGACCGAUAGCGCACAAGUAGAGUGAUCGAAAGAUGAAAAGCACCUUGAAAAGGGGGUUAAACAGUACGUGAAAUUGUUGAAAGGGAAGGGCUCGUGACCAGACUUGUGCCAGGCGGCUCAUCCGGCGUUCUCGCCGGUGCACUCCGCCUGGCUCAGGCCAGCAUCGGUUCUUGCCGGGGGAUAAGAGCUUCGGGAACGUGGCCCCCUUCGGGGGGUGUUAUAGCCCGUUGCACGAUGCCCUGGCGGGGACCGAGGUUCGCGCUCCGCAAGGAUGCUGGCGUAAUGGUCACCAACCACCCGUCUUGAAACACGGACCAAGGAGUCGUCCAUCAGAGCGAGCGUUUGGGUGUAAAACCCGCACGCGUAAUGAAAGUGAACGCAGGUGAGAGCUUCGGCGCAUCAUCGACCGAUCCUGAUGUAUUCGGAUGGAUUUGAGUAAGAGUUUUGCUGGACGGACCCGAAAGACAGUGAACUAUGCUUGUAUAGGGUGAAGCCAGAGGAAACUCUGGUGGAGGCUCGCAGCGGUUCUGACGUGCAAAUCGAUCGUCAAAUAUGAGCAUGGGGGCGAAAGACUAAUCGAACUGUCUAGUAGCUGGUUACCGCCGAAGUUUCCCUCAGGA